rnacentral:lncRNA from 1 species
UUUAAGUCUUUAAUCCAUCUUGAAUUAAUUUUUGUAUAAGGUGUAAGGAAGGGAUCCAGUUUCAGCUUUCUACAUAUGGCUAGCCAGUUUUACAGUGCCAUAUAAUUGGUCCCAUCUAGUAUGCAGCUUUUUCAGACUAGCUCUUUCACUUAGCAAACCCAGGUAUUAAGCCUAGUACCAUUAGUUAUUUUUCCUGAUCCUCCCCCUCCUCCCACCUUCCACCUCCCCAUCAAAAGGCCCCAGUGUGUGUUGUUCUUUCUACUCUAUGUGUCCAUGUGUUCUCACCAUUUAGCUCCCACUUAUAGGUGAGAACUUGUGGUAUUUGGUUUUCUGUUCCUAUGUUAGUUUGCUAAGGAUAAUGGCCUCCAGCUCCACCCAUGUCCUUGCAAAGGACGUGAUCCUGUUCUUUUUUAAUGGCUGCAUAGUAUUCCAUUGUGUAAACGUACCAUACUUUAAAAACUGAAUAAAUAAUUAACAACUUCCCAAAAGAAAAAUCACCAUAAAGCCCACAAAAAUGAGACAUUCUAAAAUUGUUGAUUAGAUUAAAUUAAUUGAUGGGGCUAUUCAAUUCAUCUAUAUUCUCAAUGAUUUUCUAUCUGCUGGAUCUAUUGUCUACUGAAAGAAGAGUAUUGAAUCUCCAUAUAUAUGACAUAUGUAUAUAUGACAGAAAAUUCUAAUUCCUCCCAUUGCUGAUGAUAUUUCUGUUACUCAUUCACUGAUUUGUAUACUAUAAUCACCCAACACAUUAUUACUGUUACUUUUAAAAAGGUUAUCUUUUAGAUUAAGAAUAAGAAAAAUAAAUGAUUUUAUUUAAUCAUUAUUUAUUCCUUUUCUGAUAUUCUUUUCUUUUUAAUGGAGAUCCAAGUUCCUGAUGGAUAUAAUUUUCCUUUUCCCUGAAGAACCUCUUUUAAAAUUUUUUUGCUGACAGGUCUUUUGAUGGUGUAUUUUCUCAGUUUUUGUUUGUCUGAAAGUCUUUAUUUCUGCUUCACUGUUGAAGGAGAAGGUUAAGUUUGCUGGAUACAGAAUUUCUGUUUGGGAGGUUUUUUUAAAUUUUAAAUAUUCACUAUUCUCUCUUCCUGCUUGAAUGGAAUCACCAUGCUGUGUUUCUCACUGUAACUCCUUGUUCUUUGCUAGGUACAGUGGUU